rnacentral:rRNA from 1 species
UACAGAGGUCCCAAGCGUUGUUCGGAUUCACUGGGCGUAAAGGGUGAGUAGGCGGUCGGGUAAGUCUGAUGUGAAAUCUCACAGCUUAACUGUGAAACUGCAUUGGAUACUAUCCGGCUCGAGGAAUGGAGGGGAGACUGGAAUACUUGGUGUAGCAGUGAAAUGCGUAGAUAUCAAGUGGAACACCAGUGGCGAAGGCGAGUCUCUGGACAUUUCCUGACGCUGAGGCACGAAAGCCAGGGGAGCAAACGGG